GGAAGGGUGCCUGAGUGGUCGAAAGGGACGGUCUUGAAAACCGUUGGGCCUGAAAGGGUUCCGUGGGUUCGAAUCCCACCCCUUCCG
rnacentral:tRNA from 1 species